rfam:Anopheles atroparvus strain EBRO unplaced genomic scaffold supercont1.2, whole genome shotgun sequence.
AUACUUACCUGGCAUAGGGGUUACCGUGAUCAGCAAGGCGGUUCCCCCAGGGCGAGGCUCGUCCAUUGCACUCCUAGGAUGGGUUGACCCCUGCGAUUGCCCCUCAUGUGGACAACUCGUAUGCGCAAUUUUUGGUAGCCGGGAAGUGCGUCCGCGCACAUCCCGA